UACGGAGGGGGCAAGCGUUGUUCGGAAUUACUGGGCGUAAAGGGCGUGUAGGCGGCCUGGUAAGUUAGAUGCGAAAGACCAUGGCUUAACCAUGGAAUUGUAUCUAAAACUACUGGGCUUGAGUAUAGGAGAGGAAGGUGGAAUUCCCAGUGUAGCGGUGAAAUGCGUAGAUAUUGGGAGGAACACCGGUGGCGAAGGCGGCCUUCUGGACUAAUACUGACGCUGAGGCGCGAAAGCCAGGGGAGCGAACGGG
rnacentral:rRNA from 1 species